AAUCUCUGCCUAUGCCCAGAACCCACUAUUGCUCCAAUUUCUUAAACUUUUAAUUAAUUUCUUUGUUUUAUUAGCUCAACUGUCUCCCAUCCUGUGUCUCUCUGGUGUUUCUCCUCGCAUAGGUCUGAGGGCAUUAGCUUGACUCUUGGAGCAGCUGGGGCCCCUGAGGCUCAGGCAUGAAGUCGGAGCAGGUGAGGGCAGCCUGUGGAGGCCUCCAGAGGUGGGUAGUUGUUCAUUUUUCUACUCGACUUCCCUAAUUGUUGGCCUUUUAUAACUGAGAGUGCUGGUCUGGUCUGGGUGUGGGGUGUCUGUGUGUUUCCGGGCUGGGCCUGGGGUGGAAGUGGUGGGGGAAGCUUUGCUCCCGUGAGAUCCGAUACGCCCUUAUCCACCGGGACAUGUGCACUGGAUUCAGCUGGAGGGGCCCUUGCAGACUGUUGCUGGUUCGGCCGUGUGUGCCCACCCUGUUGGGUUUCUCCUGUUCUCUGCAUUAACUGCGGCUUCUGCCCAGUUUAAACAGAAGAUUAUUGAACUGGAAGCAGCAGCCGAUUGCUGUUUGCAGUAUCUUUACAGCUCCAAGUGGCCCACAGGGGAAGGCCAUUAAUUUGGAUCUAAGCGUUUUGGUGUCAACCCAGAAAAAGAGAGGUGUAAUCAGUUACAACACUUGGCAUCCCCAGGAUCAGACGAGCCUGUUGUUCAGGAGCAGCACAACUAUUCCUGGUGUUGAGAACAAAGAGGAAUUUCUCCCAUGGGUCCGCACAAAGAGGACAUUCAGUGAUUCUGGGAAGGACGCCCUCAACAGCAUCUUUCUCGCCAUGCAGCACUGAGAUAAUGAAAUCUUUGCAGUGGAGGCAGGGGAAGUCAUCACGGCGCGCUGUCCUGACCCUGAGCCCGAGAAUUUUAAAGGAAACAAUACGGAGUAGAGGAAAACACUGUCAUGGAGUGAGGAGCCAGUAUCAGCCUGGCCAGUGAAUCAAGCGUGAAUUCCUCCUUUCCUGGGGAGGAGGAAGAACCCUGUCCAUGUUUAUUGAGCACCAUCUGUGUGCACUGUUUCAUGAGGUUUUGCAAUGGCCCUGUGAAAUAGGCACUAUUAUUCAUCUUGCCUAUACUGAGCAAAUCAGCGUAUGGGUUAUAUAACUUGCUAAGGUCACAUGGCUGGUGAAUGGCAGAGUUAGGAUUGAACCCAGGUCCAUUUCCAAUUCACACUCAU
rnacentral:lncRNA from 1 species